AUGAACGCUAGCGACAGGCCUAACACCAUGCAAGUCGAGGGGCAGCACAAGGAGCAAUCUGAGGUGGCGACCGGCGCACGGGUGAGUAACACGUAUGCAACCUGCCUGUAAGCGGGGAAUAACCCGUUGAAAGACGGACUAAUACCGCAUAAUACUAAAUUACUGCAUGGUAAUUUAUUUAAACAUUUAUGGCUUACAGAUGGGCAUGCGCAUGAUUAGCUAGUUGGAGAGGUAACGGCUCCCCAAGGCAACGAUCAUUAGGGGUUCUGAGAGGAAGGUCCCCCACACUGGUACUGAGACACGGACCAGACUCCUACGGGAGGCAGCAGUGAGGAAUAUUGGUCAAUGGACGAGAGUCUGAACCAGCCAAGUCGCGUGCAGGAAGAAUGUCCUAUUGGAUUGUAAACUGCUUUUGCAGGGGAAUAAAGUGCAUCACGUGUGAUGUUUUGUAUGUACUCUGCGAAUAAGGAUCGGCUAACUCCGUGCCAGCAGCAGC
rnacentral:rRNA from 1 species